ensembl:snRNA U6 U6 spliceosomal RNA
UGAUUUUCCAGUUUCAACAAGCCUGUGUUGGAACAGUACAGAGAUUAGCAUGGCCCUGUGCAAGGCUAAUUUAGAAAUUAACAAAAUGCUUCAUAUUUUU